CCAACACAUGCUACUACUUACUGCUGCACCAUCCACCUGAUCCACUCCCAGCCACCACUCUUCUCAUUCCCUUCUCCUCACAGCCGCCAUGCCUCCUGCUCCCACACCGGCGCCACCUCCUCCAUCUCCCCAGCCUGUCCCUCAGCAACGCACAGCUCCUCCACCUCGCUAGAUGCCACGCCCCCUCCCCUCUCCCCCCAAACCCACAACCCUGCCGCGGGGGCGCGUCCGCGGCGACUGCCCUUCCACGCCGUCUCCGUCCGCCCCUGCGGCUCUGAUGUCUCCUCCGUCUCCACCUCCUCCCCGCAGCAGGCGCCGGGACCGGGCGACGGCGACGAUGCCAAGGGGCCCACCGGCGUGCCCGUGCCCUUCUCCCGCGAAUCCGCCAUCGCGCUGCCUCGGCCGCUGACGAGCGCAGAUCUGAUGGGGGAGGCCAGCGGGGAAGGCCUCAGCGUAAGUCUGUUUCUUGUAGGAAGUCUUGCAGCUAACUGCUGAAAAAAAGUGGCAUGUAAAUCUGAUUGAUGAAAAUUGUUGUAUGCCAUCAGAAGGUUGUUUGUUUGUCUGAAUUCUUAAGCUAUAUGCACAUGUUUAGAUGUGCAAAUUCUCGAGAUUAAAGAGUUAGGGUCAGUAGAUAAUAGUAAGAUUAACCCGUCAGGGUAAGUUUCCAAAUGUAACUGAAAAUUAAACUGUUGUAUUAUUUUCUUCGGUUGGUGAGGCAGUUCAAGAUUAAAAUGUGUCCUUGCACGGUUACUUUCACCUACCUAAUUCAACUUCUUCCUCCUUUUCACUUGAAUUUAUUUCACCAUGAUUCAGUUGCUCUCUCUCCAGAUCUGAAUGAAACAGGGCAUCCAGCCAUCUCAAGGGUUAGUUUUGUAUGUAGUAGCUAAUUAAGCUUCUUAUUUGUUUUGUUUUAACGUUUUUCUUGUCGAAGGUGUCAAAAUGAACACUGACGGCCACGGGAGUCCCUCGGGGGCAUCCUAUAAAAUACUAGCUCAGGGAAAAUAUCAAGUUGAUUAGAAGAGAUUCGCUGACGGAGUUUCGUCCAAAAGCUCGGGUUGACGGGGAGAGACGACACUGCUAGUUUGCUGAAGUGGUAGGUUGCCAUUCAGAUGCAUUUAUCUACUGAUUGCCCACGUGCAGCCUAGGAACAGGCCGGUGAUGUCUUCGGUUGUCAUGAUGCUGGCCAGUGAGAAUGCCAUGUUGCCGGAGCCAAAUGAGCCCGGCGUAAACCUUGGGAGGAACAUGACAGAUACAGGAUUUUUCUGAAAAUGAAAGCGAGUUCACCAUGAUUAUGACAGAUACUAGAUAAGCGGAAGCCGGGUUCGGAGCCACCGACAGUGUCUUCCUUGGAUUUGUUCGUGCAAUAAGGAGGGGACCCAGCCUUCUUCACGUGUCGAGCAACAAGGGUGAUUGAGGAGGAUUACUGUGGCCCGGUGGGUGUCGUGCUCUUCAACCACUUGGAGGUGCACUUCACCUUGAAGCCUAGUGACUAGUGCACACAGAUGAUCAUCCAGGUGAUCGCGCCGUCGGAGGUCGCCGAGGUGGAGGUCCUCGACGCCACCGUCUGGGGGGAGGUCCAUCGGCAUUUGAACUCCAAGCCUUGGUAGAUACAUCUUCCAUGUGGUUUGUUUAGGUUGGUGGUGGAAUGCUAGGGAAGGUACCCACCUUUUAGGUGAUGGUUGUGUUCGUCUGAUGUUAAAUGGGAUGUCAUGAUUUCUUUCAGUUGAGAUGUUGUUCCUUGACAUGAGUUUAUUUUGCACCGGGCAUGUCUAUUUCUA